CGGUGAAUAAUGUGGUUUAAUUCGAUGCAACGCGAAAACCCUUACCCACCUUUGACAUGUACGGAAGUUGCCAGAGAUGGCUUCGUGCUCGAAAGAGAGCCGUAACACAGGUGCUGCAUGGCUGUCGUCAGCUCGUGUCGUGAGAUGUUGGGUUAAGUCCCGCAACGAGCGCAACCCUAGUCAUUAGUUGCUACGAAAGGGCACUCUAAUGAGACUGCCGGUGACAAACCGGAGGAAGGUGGGGAUGACGUCAAGUCCUCAUGGCCCUUAUAGGUGGGGCUACACACGUCAUACAAUGGCUGGUACGGAGGGUUGCCAACCCGCGAGGGGGAGCUAAUCCCAUAAAACCAGUCGUAGUCCGGAUCGCAGUCUGCAACUCGACUGCGUGAAGUCGGAAUCGCUAGUAAUCGCGGAUCAGAAUGUCGCGGUGAAUACGUUCCCGGGUCUUGUACACACCGCCCGUCACACCAUGGGAGCGGGUUCUGCCAGAAGUAGUUAGCCUAACCGCAAGGAGGGCGAUUACCACGGCAGGGUUCGUGACUGGGGUGAAGUCGUAACAAGGUAACCA
rnacentral:rRNA from 1 species